GAUGAAGAACGUAGCAAAAUGCGAUAAGUAAUGUGAAUUGCAGAAUUCAGUGAAUCAUCGAAUCUUUGAACGCACAUUGCGCCCGCUGGUAUUCCAUGGGGCAUGCCUGUUCGAGCGUCAUUUGUACCCUCAAGCUUUGCUUGGUGUUGGGUGUUUGUCCCGCGCUCUUUUGCGCAAGACUCGCCUUAAAUCAAUUGGCAGCCGGCAUGUUAGCCUGGAGCGCAGCACAUUUUGCGCGCCUUGCUUGCUUGUGUUGGCCCCCAUCAAGUCCAUAUAUUUGCUCUUGACCUCGGAUCAGGUAGGGAUACCCGCUGAACUUAAGCAUAUCAAUAAGCGGAGGA
rnacentral:misc_RNA from 1 species